rnacentral:rRNA from 1 species
GACGAACGCUGGCGGCAUGCCUAACACAUGCAAGUCGAGCGAGUUGAUUCCUUCGGGAUGAAGCUAGCGGCGGACGGGUGAGUAACACGUGGGCAACCUGCCUCAUAGAGGGGAAUAGCCUUCCGAAAGGAAGAUUAAUACCGCAUAAGAUUGCAUCUUCGCAUGAAGAAGCAAUUAAAGGAGUAAUCCGCUAUGAGAUGGGCCCGCGGCGCAUUAGCUAGUUGGUGAGGUAACGGCGAACCAAGGCGACGAUGCGUAGCCGACCUGAGAGGGUGAUCGGCCACGUUGGGACUGAGACACGGCCCAGACUCCUACGGGAGGCAGCAGUGGGGAAUAUUGCACAAUGGGGGAAACCCUGAUGCAGCAAUGCCGCGUGAGUGAUGACGGCCUUCGGGUUGUAAAGCUCUGUCUUCGGGGACGAUGAUGACGGUACCCGAGGAGGAAGCCACGGCUAACUACGUGCCAGCAGCCGCCGUAA